GACGAACGCUGGCGGCGUGCUUAACACAUGCAAGUCGAACGAAGAGCGAUGGAAGCUUGCUUCUAUCAAUCUUAGUGGCGAACGGGUGAGUAACGCGUAAUCAACCUGCCCUUCAGAGGGGGACAACAGUUGGAAACGACUGCUAAUACCGCAUACGAUCUAACCUCGGCAUCGAGGAUAGAUGAAAGGUGGCCUCUACAUGUAAGCUAUCACUGAAGGAGGGGAUUGCGUCUGAUUAGCUAGUUGGAGGGGGAACGGCCCACCAAGGCGAUGAUCAGUAGCCGGUCUGAGAGGAUGAACGGCCACAUUGGGACUGAGACACGGCCCAGACUCCUACGGGAGGCAGCAGUGGGGAAUCUUCCGCAAUGGACGAAAGUCUGACGGAGCAACGCCGCGUGAGUGAUGACGGCCUUCGGGUUGGAAAGCUCUGUUAAUCGGGACGAAAGGCCUUCUUGCGAAUAGUUAGAAGGAUUGACGGUACCGGAAUAGAAAGCCACGGCUAACUACGUG
rnacentral:rRNA from 1 species